rnacentral:rRNA from 1 species
UCGCUGUGGGAUGGCCCCGCGGUGCAUUAGCUAGUUGGUAAGGUAACGGCUUACCAAGGCAAUGAUGCAUAGCCGAGUUGAGAGACUGAUCGGCCACAUUGGGACUGAGACACGGCCCAAACUCCUACGGGAGGCAGCAGUAGGGAAUCUUCCACAAUGGACGCAAGUCUGAUGGAGCAACGCCGCGUGAGUGAAGAAGGUUUUCGGAUCGUAAAGCUCUGUUGUUGGUGAAGAAGGAUAGAGGUAGUAACUGGCCUUUAUUUGACGGUAAUCAACCAGAAAGUCACGGCUAACUACGUGCCAGCAGCCGCGGUAAUACGUAGGUGGCAAGCGUUGUCCGGAUUUAUUGGGCGUAAAGCGAGCGCAGGCGGAAGAAUAAGUCUGAUGUGAAAGCCCUCGGCUUAACCGAGGAACUGCAUCGGAAACUGUUUUUCUUGAGUGCAGAAGAGGAGAGUGGAACUCCAUGUGUAGCGGUGGAAUGCGUAGAUAU